UACAGAGGGGGCAAGCGCUAUUCGGAAUUAUUGGGCGUAAAGGGCGCGUAGGCGGCUUGGCAAGUGGAUGGUGAAAUCCCUCGGCUUAACCGAGGAACUGCCGUCCAAACUGCUUCGCUUGAGACCGGGAGAGGUGAGUGGAAUUCCCAGUGUAGCGGUGAAAUGCGUAGAUAUUGGGAGGAACACCAGUGGCGAAGGCGGCUCACUGGGCCGUAACUGACGCUGAGGAGCGAAAGCGUGGGGAGCGAACAGG
rnacentral:rRNA from 1 species